UUAUAGGCAUGAGCCACCAGGCUUGGUCACAAUUUUUUUUUUUUUAAUUAAGCAGAAGUGUCUCCUGGCAUCUGGACUCUUGAAUUCUAACCUCGCUUGGUGACAGCAGCUGGAAGAAGGCUAAUCUGUCUUCUCCAUCACAUCCCCUCACCGAUUUGAACACAGAAUGUGUUAUCUUGUGUCUUUCUUUUCCGAACUCUUUCCCUUCAACUCUUCUUCCAAUGGCCCAGUUUUGUGGUUUCCUCACUCCUCCUGCUGAUCUCCAUGAGAUGGCUCCAGCUAUCAGUGACCCUUAAAUAUGGACACCUAGGACUGAAUCCUGUUUCUAGGAAGAUCUGAAUAACAGCAUUCAGAAUUAUGCGAUACCUCCCUUUUCUGGAAACUCCACAUGUCUACCGAAGUAGCCACCAGGCUACUGACCCUCUCCAAGAAGAUGGUGAGGAUAUUUAGAACUGCUUGUUCUUAGUGAAUCCAUUUUGAUUCCAAAUGAUCCCUGUAUCUCUGCCUCAUUAUUACAAAGCUCCACUUAAAUUAUUUAAUGUAGAAUUUUUUGCCUAUGUUUGGUAUAAACCUCCCUGACAUACGGUUUUGAAAUUCUCCUGUUUGUCCUUAUUUUCAGUUUCCCAUCAGAACAUUUGUCACGAUUUUUCUUUCUUCUCUGACUUAGAGUACUGAAUAUAAUUCAAGUGAACAAAGUCUCUCAAAACAAUUCCACUGAAUUCAAGUGUAAUAGUAGACAUCAUCCUACUAAACAACGAAAAGCAUGAAGGCUUCAUGAUGCUGUCGAUUUCAUUACUGUUGAAGGCAGAACUACAGCAUGCUGAAUGCCUCGUCUAAGAUCAAAGACAUUUUAGUACCGUUUUUAUAAAUCUUUCUGUUAUAUAGACUUGAGAUAUUAUUUGGGCAAAUUGGGGAUUCGAAACUGGUGUGAAGGAGCUAUUGUGUAACAUUUUAUUCACCUCUCUAAAAAUCCGUAAUAGUUUUCAA